rnacentral:sRNA from 1 species
UCACCAGGAUAGGUGGGCGAGCAAAGGC